rnacentral:rRNA from 1 species
AGGAUCAUUACCGAACUGUCGACAUGAGCUGUUGCUGGCCCUCNAAAGGGGGCAUGUGCACGCUCUGUUUACACAUCCACUCACACCUGUGCACCCUCUGUAGUUCUAUGGCCUUGGGGACCCCGUCCCCUUGCUGUGGUCCUACAUNUUUACACACACACCGUAACAAAGUCUCAUGGAAUGUAUGUCNCGUUUAACGCAAUACAAUACAACUUUCAGCAACGGAUCUCUUGGCUCUCGCAUCGAUGAAGAACGCAGCGAAAUGCGAUAAGUAAUGUGAAUUGCAGAAUUCANUGAAUCAUCGAAUCUUUGAACGCACCUUGCGCCCUUUGGCUAUUCCGAAGGGCAUGCCUGUUUGAGUAUCAUGAACACCUCAACUCUCAUGGUCUGCCAUGAUGAGCUUGGACUUUGGGGGUCUUGCCNGNNUAGUGUCGGCUCCUCUCAAAUGGAUCAGCUUCCCAGUGUUUGGUGGCGUCACAGGUGUGAUAACUAUCUACGCUUGUGGUUUUCUGCCAUUAACCUUCAGCAAUGGAGGUUCGCUGGAGCUCACANAUGUCUUUCCUUGGGGAGGACAGCUUCUUGAA